rnacentral:rRNA from 1 species
CAUGCAAGUCGAGGGGAAACGACAUCGAAAGCUUGCUUUUGAUGGGCGUCGACCGGCGCACGGGUGAGUAACGCGUAUCCAACCUGCCCACCACUUGGGGAUAACCUUGCGAAAGUAAGACUAAUACCCAAUGACGUCUCUAGAAGACAUCUGAAAGAGAUUAAAGAUUUAUCGGUGAUGGAUGGGGAUGCGUCUGAUUAGCUUGUUGGCGGGGUAACGGCCCACCAAGGCGACGAUCAGUAGGGGUUCUGAGAGGAAGGUCCCCCACAUUGGAACUGAGACACGGUCCAAACUCCUACGGGAGGCGGCAGUGAGGAAUAUUGGUCAAUGGACGAGAGUCUGAACCAGCCAAGUAGCGUGCAGGAAGACGGCCCUAUGGGUUGUAAACUGCUUUUAUAAGGGAAUAAAGUGAGAGUCGUGACUCUUUUUGCAUGUACCUUAUGAAUAAGGACCGGCUAAUUCCGUGCCAGCAGCCGCGGUAAUACGGAAGGUCCGGGCGUUAUCCGGAUUUAUUGGGUUUAAAGGGAGCGUAGGCCGGAGAUUAAGCGUGUUGUGAAAUGUAGAUGCUCAACAUCUGAACUGCAGCGCGAACUGGUUUCCUUGAGUACGCACAAAGUGGGCGGAAUUCGUGGUGUAGCGGUGAAAUGCUUAGAUAUCACGAAGAACUCCGAUUGCGAAGGCAGCUCACUGGAGCGCAACUGACGCUGAAGCUCGAAAGUGCGGGUAUCGAACAGGAUUAGAUACCCUGGUAGUCCGCACGGUAAACGAUGGAUGCCCGCUGUUGGUCUGAAUAGGUCAGCGGCCAAGCGAAAGCAUUAAGCAUCCCACCUGGGGAGUACGCCGGCAACGGUGAAACUCAAAGGAAUUGACGGGGGCCCGCACAAGCGGAGGAACAUGUGGUUUAAUUCGAUGAUACGCGAGGAACCUUA